ACAUAGGCGGUGAACUACGUCAUUAGCCAGGCCCACUUUUGGGCAUGGCUAGGGGUGUUACUGAGGAAGGUAUAAAAGACUAAACAGCAGACGUCUCGCUACUCUUUCUGGCUUUCAGGCUUCCAGUUUGGCGAUGGAAAACUACUCAGCUCAUCUGGAUUACUUGUUUGUCUCUUCGUCAAUGAAGAUGUCAUUAAUACAGUUCUGGGAAGACAGAUACUGCCAACCUGCUGGAAUAUCCACAUGUAGGACUGAUCUCCGGACUGGGAGGCACUCAAAGGCAACAGGCUCAACCUGCAUUGGAGAUUGAGUCCAUCUGUCCUAUGGUGACCAGCGUAGUCUCCACAAGUUUGACAGCAGAAUCACAGGAAUGAAGUUGCAGUCAAAAAGAGUUGGUGUUUCUCAAGAAUCAACCACUCUCUUCAGUCCACUUAUAAAGUUUGGUCACAGCUGAAAAACCCUGGGCAACUUGCACAAAAUGGAAACAGACAUGCAGGAUCUCCUUCACAAACAACAAGACAGCCAUUUGUUUGGAGGAGCUCAUAUGGGAAUGCUCUUGCAGAGAUUCCUCUCCUGAGCUCCUAGAGGCCUAGCUGAGGUGGUUUUACUUGAUUUUGGUGUGUCUGGUAGUCCAAGUUUGUGUUUAUUCCUUUGGCGUGUGAGAACUAUAGAACUCCGUAAAUUAACCCCCCUGGAUGCCCCUUCCCUCAUAAAUAGUACAGAACAUUAA